ACUCAGUUUGCAUUAGCCUUUUUGAUGCUUGGAUUUCGGAACGGUAAUCUGAACCUACGUACUUUCUCCCUCUGUUUUGUCUUAAUCCCUUUUGGGAUAUCUUUUUGAAUUUUAACUGCCUUUGCUGACUUACUUUGCUUUUUACUGCAGUGAAAUUUGGAGAAAGCAUGAGUAACAUUCGGUUCACAGACUUAAUGGUUUUGAGCAUCCGGUUAUGGAUUGAUGAUGUUGUAUCUUGUUUAUCGUUUUACAGGUUUUGAGGGUGGAUUCAUGUUGCAGCAAAAUAAUGGAUUGGUAUGAAAUUCUCUACAGGCCAUUUGCUUAUAUCUGCUGCAGCCAAAUUGAUUCAGUUGUAUCGGUUUAUUGGCUUGACAGGUUGUUAUUGGACAUGGUUGCUGGUGAUGCUGCAGAAGGCCUAACCUUUGUUCGUGCUGCAUCUUGCAAUGGUUUCAACUGGAAGUGAUUUAGCAGAGAGAAGAUAUCCGUGAGUCUCUAAGAUAGAGGUUAUUUCAGGAAGACGUCCGAGAAACAUAUUCAUCUUAUGCCUUUCUUCUGGAGUCAAUUGAUCCUGAUUGAUAGAAGAAGAGACUACCCUGGAAGUUUCUUUAGCUUGAGAUGAUAUAUCAGCAACCUUCUGAAGAGGAUUUAAAGGAGGCUGAGAAGUUCCGGCUUUCAUUCCGCCUAGUAACAAUUUCUUCUUUUUUCUGAGUUCUUAUUCUGGAUCCAUUUCUUCUGUACCACUACCUUCUUGGACAUUAGGUGCGUGGGCUGCCUGAGCUGUUCCAGAUGAUGUGAAUAUGUCCAUAGCAUUUUGUAUAACUGGCUGGACUGUUUCUGGUUCGAGUCUACUAGAUGUUUCAGUGUCAAGAGUGUCGUCAGCAAUCAGACUAGCGAGAGCAUCUAUUUUGGUGAAAUGUUUUGCAGGUUCAAAGAAAAUCACGACUUGUGCCCAAAUGUGCUUUAAGGCAUAGUUCAAUUGCAGGUUGGAGGCUUUGGCCAGGUGACAUGGUGGACCGGGAACAAAGAAAUUGGUUGUAGUUUCCAAGAGCACACUCUUAUGGUGUUGGUGCAGUUGGUAGCAUUUUAAACAUGUCUUGUUUUACUGCAGGAACAUGUGUCGAAGGGCUAUGUUUUAGCUUGCAACAAAAGACAGGUUUUGGUUUGCAACAGACUUGGAACUUCUCAUAUUUGGCAAGGCAGGUUUUAUGUGUACUUGCUGUAAGUUCUGGAUGAAAAUGAACUCUUUUGGAUGCUCACAACUAUCUCCUCCAUGAAAUAAGCACAACUUAUACUCAAAUUGCGUUCCGACCUUACAUGAUUUGGUGCUUCCAAAUGAUCUAAGCUCAAAAUUGCAUUCCUUGAAUUUUUGCUCAUUUCUUAACCUUGAUAGUUCUUUGUAGGAUCCUCGGUAAUCUCCUGCAAGCCGUUGUUGACUUGUGUUACAAAAGGAUCAGCAACCACUUUGGGGUUAGCUGCCAUUUCCAACAGUUUACGUGAUCGAGGUUUGAAUGAUCGACGAUGCUGAAUUAAUUGCUCCCUUCAAAGUGAUGGCUAGCGGAGAAUGAGUAGAAUCAAACUGCUGUUGAAUAGCAGUUGUGUGGUUCAAAAGUCCCUUUUGCCAGUAGUUUGAAAUUAUACUUGUAUCUGCCUAGCCACUGUAGCUUCAAGUUUUGAACUGACCGACUUUUCUAGUUGAUUCAAU